rnacentral:rRNA from 1 species
GCCAUUCCGCGUGCAGUAUGAAGGCCUUCGGGUUGUAAACUGCUUUUGUACGGAACGAAAAGGUCUCUAUUAAUACUAGGGGCUCAUGACGGUACCGUAAGAAUAAGCACCGGCUAACUACGUGCCAGCAGCCGCGGUAAUACGUAGGGUGCAAGCGUUAAUCGGAAUUACUGGGCGUAAAGCGUGCGCAGGCGGUUAUAUAAGACAGAUGUGAAAUCCCCGGGCUCAACCUGGGAACUGCAUUUGUGACUGUAUAGCUAGAGUGCGGNAGAGGGGGAUGGAAUUCCGCGUGUAGCAGUGAAAUGCGUAGAUAUGCGGAGGAACACCGAUGGCGAAGGCAAUCCCCUGGACCUGCACUGACGCUCAUGCACGAAAGCGUGGGGAGCAAACAGGAUUAGAUACCCUGGUAGUCCACGCCCUAAACGAUGUCAACUGGUUGUUGGGUCUUCAC